UUUUCAGUGUCGCAGCGAAAGCGAUAAACACACCGCCUGGGGAGUACGACCGCAAGGUUAAAACUCAAAUGAAUUGACGGGGACCCGCACAAGUAGUGGAGCAUGUGGUUUAAUUCGAAGAUACGCGCAGAACCUUACCAACACUUGACAUGUUCGUCGCGACUUUAAGAGAUUAAAGUUUUCGGUUCGGCCGGACGAAACACAGGUGCUGCAUGGCUGUCGUCAGCUCGUGUCGUGAGAUGUUGGGUUAAGUCCCGCAACGAGCGCAACCCUCACUUUUAGUUGCCAUCAUUAAGUUGGGCACUCUGAAAGAACUGCCAGUGAUAAGCUGGAGGAAGGUGGGGAUGACGUCAAGUCCUCAUGGCCCUUACGUGUUGGGCUACACACGUGCUACAAUGGUAUCUACAACAGGAAGCAAGACUGCGAAGUUAAGCAAAUCCCUAAAAGAUACCUCAGUUCGGAUUGCACUCUGCAACUCGAGUGCAUGAAGCUGGAAUUACUAGUAAUCGUGGAUCAGCGUGCCACGGUGAAUGCGUUCCCGGGUCUUGUACACACCGCCCGUCACACCAUGGGAGUUGGUUCUACCUUAAGGCAAGGUUUAAAACCCUUGACCACGGUAUAGUCAGCGACUGGGGUGAAGUCGUAACAAGGUAGCCGUAGGGGAACCUGCGGCUGGAUUACCUCCUU
rnacentral:rRNA from 1 species